CGGGUGAGUAACACGUAGAGAACCUACCUUACACAGGGGGACAACGGCUGGAAACGGCUGCUAAUACCGCAUAAGCACCCAGUUUCGCAUGAGACAGAGUGAAAAGAGUAAAUCGGUGUAAGAUGGCUCUGCGUCUGAUUAGCUAGUUGGUGGGGUAAAGGCUCACCAAGGCGACGAUCAGUAGCCGGCCUGAGAGGGCGACCGGCCACAUUGGGACUGAGACACGGCCCAGACUCCUACGGAAGGCAGCAG
rnacentral:rRNA from 1 species